UACGAAGGGGGCUAGCGUUGUUCGGAAUUACUGGGCGUAAAGCGCGCGCAGGCGGUCUUCCAAGUCAGUGGUGAAAGCCCGGAGCUCAACUCCGGAACUGCCAUUGAGACUGUAAGACUUGAGGACGAGAGAGGUGAGUGGAAUUCCCAGUGUAGAGGUGAAAUUAGUAGAUAUUGGGAAGAACACCGGUGGCGAAGGCGGCUCACUGGCUCGUAUCUGACGCUCAGGCGCGACAGCGUGGGGAUCAAACAGG
rnacentral:rRNA from 1 species